UGUGCUGGCAAAAAAGUGG
rnacentral:piRNA from 1 species